AGCUUCUUGAUGUGCUAGACCAAAAGCAAUUGAAAGCUAAUUCCCAAAAUGCACCGAGUCCAGCUUUUUGGACCAUGACAACAGCUCAAAGGAAAACAACCACCCAAAUACUAAAAUAAAAUAAAGAAAAAAACUAGAUGCAUUUCAAAACCUAGAGCCCACGUGACUACUUCUCAUUUUUGGGUAGAAGAAAUUCCCAAGCAUUAUUCAUGGUACUUUGCAUUCAAUGAGAAAAGAGAAAACAACACUUCCUAUUCAUCAUUCAAGGUACCGUAACAGCUGCUACAAUGUCCCAUCAUCUCAAGAUUCAAUUAGCUUUUCCUCAAUGUUGAAUGAAAAGAAAAAAAACAAAGAAACUCCUUCCAUGACCGUGACACCUCUGCA
rnacentral:lncRNA from 1 species